rnacentral:rRNA from 1 species
GACGAACGCUGGCGGCGUGCCUAAUACAUGCAAGUAGAACGCUGAAGGAGGAGCUUGCUCUUCUGGAUGAGUUGCGAACGGGUGAGUAACGCGUAGGUAACCUGCCUGGUAGCGGGGGAUAACUAUUGGAAACGAUAGCUAAUACCGCAUAACAGUAGAUGCUGCAUGACAUUUGCUUAAAAGGUGCAAUUGCAUCACUACCAGAUGGACCUGCGUUGUAUUAGCUAGUUGGUGGGGUAACGGCUCACCAAGGCGACGAUACAUAGCCGACCUGAGAGGAUGAUCGGCCACACUGGGACUGAGACACGGCCCAGACUCCUACGGGAGGCAGCAGUAGGGAAUCUUCGGCAAGGGACGGAAGUCUGACCGAGCAACGCCGCGGGAGGGAAGAAGGGUUUCGGAUCGUAAAGCUCUGUUGUAAGAGAAGAACGAGUGUGAGAGUGGAAAGUUCACACUGUGACGGUAUCUUACCAGAAAGGGACGGCUAACUACGUG